rnacentral:rRNA from 1 species
GAUGAACGCUGGCGGCGUGCCUAACACAUGCAAGUCGAACGGAGCUGUCGGAGCUUGCUUUGACAGCUUAGUGGCGAACGGGUGAGUAACGCGUGAGCAACCUGCCCUUGAGAGGGGGAUAACAUCGGGAAACCGAUGCUAAUACCGCAUAAAAUAUGCAGAUGGCAUCAUUGGCAUAUCAAAGGAGAAAUCCGCUCAAGGAUGGGCUCGCGUCUGAUUAGAUAGUUGGUGAGGUAACGGCCCACCAAGUCGACGAUCAGUAGCCGGACUGAGAGGUUGACCGGCCACAUUGGGACUGAGACACGGCCCAGACUCCUACGGGAGGCAGCAGUGGGGAAUAUUGGGCAAUGGGGGGAACCCUGACCCAGCAACGCCGCGUGAAGGAAGAAGGCCUCGGUUGUAACUUCUUGUACAGGGAAGAAGGAAGUGACGGUACCCUGAGAACAAGCUCCGGCUAACUACGUG